UACGUAGGGUGCAAGCGUUGUCCGGAAUUAUUGGGCGUAAAGGGAGCGUAGGCGGACAGUUUAGUCAGAGGUGAAAGCCCAGGGCUCAACCUUGGAAUUGCCUUUGAUACUGGCUGUCUUGAGUACGGGAGAGGUGUGUGGAACUCCGAGUGUAGAGGUGAAAUUCGUAGAUAUUCGGAAGAACACCAGUGGCGAAGGCGACACACUGGCCCGUUACUGACGCUGAGGCUCGAAAGCGUGGGGAGCAAACAGG
rnacentral:rRNA from 1 species